rnacentral:rRNA from 1 species
AUUGAACGCUGGCGGCAUGCCUUACACAUGCAAGUCGAACGGCAGCGGGGGAGAAGCUUGCUUUUCCUGCCGGCGAGUGGCGAACGGGUGAGUAAUACAUCGGAGCGUGCCCUGUAGUGGGGGAUAACUAGUCGAAAGAUUAACUAAUACCGCAUACGACCUGAGGGUGAAAGUGGGGGACCGCAAGGCCUCAUGCUAUAGGAGCGGCCGAUGUCUGAUUAGCUAGUUGGUGGGGUAAAGGCCUACCAAGGCGACGAUCAGUAGCUGGUCUGAGAGGACGAUCAGCCACACUGGGACUGAGACACGGCCCAGACUCCUACGGGAGGCAGCAGUGGGGAAUUUUGGACAAUGGGCGAAAGCCUGAUCCAGCAAUGCCGCGUGUGUGAAGAAGGCCUUCGGGUUGUAAAGCACUUUUGUCCGGAAAGAAAUGGCUCUGGUUAAUACCUGGGGUCGAUGACGGUACCGGAAGAAUAAGGACCGGCUAACUACGUGCCAGCAGCCGCGGUAA